GGAUGAACGCUGGCGGCGUGCUUGAUACAUGCAAGUCGAACGGAGAGUGUAGCAAUAUACUUUUAGUGGCGAACGGGUGAGUAACGCGUUGGUGACCUGCCCCGAAGCGAGGGAUAACAGUUCGAAAGAACUGCUAAUACCUCAUGUGAUCACCGGUUUUAGAAUCUGGUGAUUAAAGGUGAAAAUCACUUCGGGAGGGGCCUGCGUCCCAUCAGCUAGUUGGUAAGGUAAUGGCUUACCAAGGCGAUGACGGGUAGGGGACCUGAGAGGGUGGCCCCCCACAUUGGAACUGAGACACGGUCCAAACUCCUACGGGAGGCAGCAGUGGGGAAUAUUGGGCAAUGGGGGAAACCCUGACCCAGCAACGCCGCGUGAGGGAAGAAGGUUUUCGGAUUGUAAACCUCUGUUCUUGGGGAAGAGUGGAAGACGGUACCCAAGGAGGAAGCCCCGGCUAACUACGUGCCAGCAGCCGCGGUAAUACGUAGGGGGCGAGCGUUGUCCGGAAUGAUUGGGCGUAAAGGGCGCGUAGGCGGCCUAUCAAGUCAGUAGUGGAAGUCCAAUUUUCAAGAUUGGAAGUGCUAUUGAAACUGAAUGGCUUGAGUGCAGGAGAGGUUAUCGGAAUUCCCGGUGUAGCGGUGAAAUGCGUAGAGAUCGGGAGGAACACCAGUGGCGAAGGCGGGUAACUGGACUGCAACUGACGCUGAUGCGCGAAAGUGUGGGGAGCAAACAGGAUUAGAUACCCUGGUAGUCCACACUGUAAAUGAUGAAUGCUAGGUGUAGGGGGUAUCGACCCCUUCUGUGCCGCAGUUAACACAGUAAGCAUUCCGCCUGGGGAGUACGGUCGCAAGAUUAAAACUCAAAGGAAUUGACGGGGGCCCGCACAAGCAGCGGAGCAUGUGGUUUAAUUCGAAGCAACGCGAAGAACCUUACCAGGUCUUGACAUCCAGGUAAAGCUGCAGAGAUGCAGUGUGUGCUUGCACAAUCUGAGACAGGUGGUGCAUGGUUGUCGUCAGCUCGUGUCGUGAGAUGUUGGGUUAAGUCCCGCAACGAGCGCAACCCUUGCCGAUAGUUACUAACGGGUAGAGCCGAGGACUUUAUUGGGACCGCCGGGGACAACUCGGAGGAAGGUGGGGACGACGUCAAAUCAUCAUGCCCCUUAUGACCUGGGCUACACACGUGCUACAAUGGCCGAGACAGAGAGAAGCGAAGGCGCGAGCUGGAGCGAAUCUCAAAAAUGCGGUCACAGUUCGGAUUGUGGGCUGCAACCCGCCCGCAUGAAGCAGGAGUUGCUAGUAAUCGCGAAUCAGCAUGUCGCGGUGAAUACGUUCCCGGGCCU
rnacentral:rRNA from 1 species